rnacentral:lncRNA from 1 species
UUCGAUGAUCGUGGAGCUCUUUUUAUCAUUGUUCUUUCUUCCUUCCUCUUCCUGAUGAUUUUGUCUUGACUCCCUUGACCCGAGCGUGCCUUCAAGCUUGAGUUGAGAGGUCGGCUUGAUCCUUUAGAAAGUUUUCAUCAGGAGAGAAACCUAGGUGCUUGUAUUCAAGCCUUCGUCACCCUGUCAUCAUAGCGAUGGACUUGUCAAGGCAUAAGACCUCGGGCAUGGCAGCGUUAAGACACUCCACGUGGUUGGUUGACAGCUCGCCUUCUCUCUAUCGUGUGGAGAAGGGGCCAUCGUUGAU